rnacentral:rRNA from 1 species
GGAGGAGAAGAAAAUCUUGAGCAGUUCGACCAUGCCGAUGACGGCGAGGACGCGCAGGACGGGGUGCAGUUCGCCGACGCCGGAGAGCAUUCCCCAAGCCAGCCAGCGGGCCGCGCCGGUGCUGGCGAGCAUCAUGCCCGCGGAAAUGCCGCCUGCGAUGAGGACAAGCCCGCCCCAGUCGAUGCUCUUGGCCGCUACCUUCCAGUCGUCGAAGACGCGCAGGCCGGGGACGAAGAGGAGCACGAAGCCGAGCAGGGCCACGAAACCUUCAGGAGCCUUGAAGCCGAUGUAGGGUUCGAGAUUGGAGCCGCCGAGCCACAGGGUAACCAUGGUGAGGAACACGACGAGGGUACGGAUUUCCUUGGUGUUCAGGCCGCCGAGGGCGUUGAGUUCGGCGCGGAUGCUUUCGAGGGACGUGGGGAUUUCACGGAAUUCCGGCGGGAACAGCUUCAUGAGGCAGAACCAGCCGAGGGGGACCAUGAUCAUGGCGCCGGGGACGCCCACCGCCAUCCACUGGGCAAAGGAAACAUCCAUAUGAGCCAUGUCGCGGACGUACUGCAUGGCGAGCACGUUGGGGCCGCAGCCGGCGGGCGUGGCCGUGCCGCCGAUAAGGGCGCCCCAGACGAUGCCGAUCAUGAGGGCGCGUCCGAAAUUGCUCUGGAGGGGCUUGCAGCCGCUGCUUUCCAGGAUGCUCACGCCCAGCGGGAGGAGCAUGGCGGCAACGGCCAUGUCCGUGACCCACAUGGAGGUCAUGGUCCCGAUGGCUAUGAAGGCCAGCACGAUGCGGUCGGUGCGGCGCCCCACCUUGGUGAGCAUCCACAGCAUGAAACGCCGGGCGAGGCCCGAAGACGUCAUGGCCGCGGAAAGGCCCAUGGCACCCAUGAGGAACAGCAACUAGGAUGUUGGCUUAGAAGCAGCCAUCCAUUAAAAGAGUGCGUAAUAGCUCACUAGUCGAGAGGUCCUGCGCCGAAAAUGUCCGGGGCUGAAACACACUACCGAAGCUUGGGAAUUGACGAAUGUUAAUUGGUAGAGGAGCAUUCUUAACGGGGCGAAGCUGUACCGGAAGGAGCAGUGGACUGUUAAGAAGAGAGAAUGCCGGAAUGAGUAGCGAGAGGAAGGUGAGAAUCCUUCCGGCCGAAUAUCUAAGGUUUCCAGAGUAAAGCUGAUCUGCUCUGGGUAAGUCGGGGCCUAAGGCGAGGUCGAAAGACGUAGUCGAUGGAUAACAGGUAAAGAUUCCUGUACUAUAUCAUAACAGAACUGUGGGGACGCAGACAGAGAGCAUAAGCCGGGAAUGGAAAAACCGGUACAAGCGAGGUAGGAGUGCAUCAGGCAAAUCCGGUGCACAAUCUGAAGACGUGAUGUGGGGCGUAAAGCCGGAAGUAUGUGAGCUGGCUGCCAAGAAAAGCCGCUAUUGUUUAUGAUAUACCCGUACCGUAAACCGACACAGGUGGAUGAGGAGAGAAUCCUAAGGCCGACGGGAGAAGCAUUGUUAAGGAACUCGGCAAAAUGACUCCGUAACUUCGGGAGAAGGAGUGCCAUGUAAAAGUGGCCGCAGAGAAUUGGCCCAAGCAACUGUUUAGCAAAAACACAGGUCUAUGCAAAACCGAAAGGUGAGGUAUAUGGGCUGACGCCUGCCCGGUGCUGGAAGGUUAAGGGGAGAGGUUAGUCGUAAGGCGAAGCUUUGAACUUAAGCCCCAGUAAACGGCGGCCGUAACUAUAACGGUCCUAAGGUAGCGAAAUUCCUUGUCGG